rnacentral:rRNA from 1 species
GGGGGAUAAUUAAUAAUUUAAUUAUUAAUAAAAGAAUUUUUAAUAUAAAUAUUUAAUGGGGGUUAAAGUAUUUAUAUAGAAAAAAUUGAAAAUUUUAUAGUUUAUUUGUAUUGUGGGGGGAUUUUGAAAUAAUAUGAAAAUAAAUUAUUUUAAAAGUAAAUUUUAUUUAUUGUAUCUUGUGUAUCAGAGUUUAUUAAAAAUAAUUUAUUAAAAAUAAAUUUCUCGAAUUUAAAAGAGUUAAUUAAUUAAUAAUAAGUUAUUGUAGUAUAAAUAUUUUUAAUAAUUAAUUUGAAAUGAAAUGUUAUUCGUUUUUAAAUAUAUCUAGUUUUUAUAGAAAAAAAUUUAAUUUUUUAUUAAUUAAAAUUUUUAUUUAUUUAUUUAUAAAAAUAAUUUUUAAUAAAAUAAUUUAAGGGAUAAUCUUUAAAUUAAAUUUUUAUAAUAAUUUAUAUUUAAAUUUAAAAAUUUUAUAAUUUAUAUUGUUAAUAAAUUUAAAUUUAUUAUAAAUAAUUUUAUUUAAAAAUAAAAUUUAAUUUUAUUUAAUUUUUUAUAUAAAAAUAAUUUUUAAUUAUUAAAAAUUAAUUAUAAUGAUAAAAUUAGUAAAAUAUUAUUAAAAUAUAUUUAAAAUAAAUUUAAUUAUUUAAAAGGAAUUCGGCAAAAAUUUAUAUUCACUUGUUUAUCAAAAACAUGUCUUUUUGAAAUUAAUUUAAAGUCUAAUCUGCCCACUGAUAAUUUAUUAAAGGGCUGCAGUAUUUUGACUGUACAAAGGUAGCAUAAUCAUUAGUCUUUUAAUUGAUGACUUGUAUGAAAGAUUGGAUGAAAUAUAUUCUGUCUCUUAAAUAUUUUAUUGAAUUUAAUUUUUUAAUUAAAAAGUUAAAAUUUAUUAAAAAGACGAGAAGACCCUAUAGAGUUUUAUAAUUUAUUUAUUAAAAUUUUUUUAUUAAGUUUUAUAUAAAUUAAAAUUAUUUUGUUGGGGUGAUAAAAAAAUUAAAUUAACUUUUUUUAAAAAAUUAACAUAAAUAAAUGAUUUUAUGAUCCAAUUUUAUUGAUUAUAAGAUAAAAUUACCUUAGGGAUAACAGCGUAAUUUUUUUUUUUAGUUCAAAUAAGAAAAAAAGUUUGCGACCUCGAUGUUGGAUUAAGAUAAAAAUUAAAUGUAGAAGUUUAAAUUUUUGAUCUGUUCGAUCAUUAAAAUCUUACAUGAUCUGAGUUCAAACCGGUGUAAGCCAGGUUGGUUUCUAUCUUUUAAAUUUAAAAAUAUUUUAGUACGAAAGGAUUAAAUAUUUCAAUUAUAUUGAUUAAUUUAAUAUAUAUAUAUAUAUAUAUAUAUAUAUAUAUAUAUAUAUAUAUAUAUAUAUAUAUUAUUUAAGAAUAUUAUUAAAUUUUAUUUAAAUUUUUAUUUUAAUUAAUUUAUAACUAAU